rnacentral:rRNA from 1 species
AUUGAACGCUGGCGGCAUGCUUUACACAUGCAAGUCGAACGGUAACAGGGUGCUUGCACCGCUGACGAGUGGCGAACGGGUGAGUAAUGCGUCGGAACGUGCCGAGUAGUGGGGGAUAACGCAGCGAAAGUUGUGCUAAUACCGCAUACGUACUGAGGUAGAAAGUGGGGGACCUUCGGGCCUCACGCUAUUCGAGCGGCCGACGUCUGAUUAGCUAGUAGGUGAGGUAAGAGCUCACCUAGGCGACGAUCAGUAGCGGGUCUGAGAGGAUGAUCCGCCACACUGGGACUGAGACACGGCCCAGACUCCUACGGGAGGCAGCAGUGGGGAAUUUUGGACAAUGGGCGCAAGCCUGAUCCAGCCAUGCCGCGUGUCUGAAGAAGGCCUUCGGGUUGUAAAGGACUUUUGUCAGGGAGGAAAUCCUAGUGGCUAAUAACUACUGGGGAUGACAGUACCUGAAGAAUAAGCACCGGCUAACUACGUGCCAGCAGCCGCCGUAAGAC